rnacentral:rRNA from 1 species
CCGGCACGGGUGAGUAACACGUAUCCAACCUGCCGUCUACUCUUGGACAGCCUUCUGAAAGGAAGAUUAAUACAAGAUGGCAUCAUGAGUCCGCAUGUUCACAUGAUUAAAGGUAUUCCGGUAGACGAUGGGGAUGCGUUCCCUUAGAUAGUAGGCGGGGUAACGGCCCACCUAGUCUUCGAUGGAUAAGGGUUCUGAGAGGAAGGUCCCCCACAUUGGAACUGAGACACGGUCCAA